rnacentral:lncRNA from 13 species
UUUAUAUUGUGCUACAGUAGUUGAAUUGUUUAUAUUGUGCUACAGUAGUUGAAUUGUUUAUAUUGUGCUACAGUAGUUGAAUCGUUUAUAUUGUGCUACAGUAGUUGAAUUGUUUAUAUUGUGCUACAGUAGUUGAAUCGUUUAUAUUGUGCUACAGUAGUUGAAUCGUUUAUAUUGUGCUACAGUAGUUGAAUUGUUUAUAUUGUGCUACAAUAUGCACUAGGACAGUGCUUCUCAAACCACCUCUUGGGGACCGCUAGACAUUUCACAGUAUGGUUUUAACCCUGAACUACCACACCUGAUUCACCAGUCAAGGGCUUGAUGAUUAGUUGAAAAGUAAAAUCAGUGUUCUAGCUCUGGAAGAGAUCAAAUACAUGGAACUGUUGAGGGUCCCCGACGACAGGUUUGAGAACCACUGCACUAGGACGAGGCAGGCACAAGGCAGAGUGAUUUGUUAUAACAAAUGAACAGUCCUUAAGACUCCCUUCUGUAUUCAGGUUUUUGUUUCAGCCAAGCUCUAUUUUGUUGGACUGUUCAUUGUCAAGUUAGGCAGAUCUAAUUUCCAUUAGUCAACUUUAAAGAUGAAUUGAACGAUUACGCAAAUGUCAAUUCCCAAAUGUCUUCUAUAUUUCCAGUCUGGGGAAGCAGCGUCCUCAGGAGCGAGAGAAGACCAUCCCAGAGAACGGCGGUGGGCAAGGGGAGCAGGUUGACACCCCCUGCGAUGAUGACCAGGCGACAGGGACCCCCGACCAGGAGGAGGGGGCUGGGGCCAGCAGUGGAGGCUUUGUGGCCCUCAACCUUAGCACUGUACCCCAGGAGGGAGACUCCCAGGAGUGGGUGAUGCUGGAGCUGGAACAGGGGGGAGGCAGCGGGGCCUUGGGGGCAGCCAAGCCUCCAGGAGACGACGCUCUGGAUGGGGAUAAACCAGGGACCCAAGCAGAGGCCCAGGACCAACAGCCUCCCUCAGGCCCAAUCAGUCCCGUCCAGUCCCACAUGGCCCUGCCCUGUACCUGGUUACUGGGCGGCAAGAGGCUGCCUGGGAUGCUAGGCCACUUGGGCCGAGCUCAGAUGGAGCAGUCUCCCAACCCCGUACCGCAGUCCCCCGUGACAGAGAAGAGUGAAGCCAUACCGUUAGAGGCCCCGUUCACCAGACCCACCGACCCCCAAGAGGGCAAGGUUGGUGAGACGGUCCAGUCAGCCCCCAGCCCUGUGCCAAGCCUCAUCCCAGCCCACCUCGCCAACGAUAAAGACCCAGAGAGCGACUCUGGCCUCCCCGACCGUUCCUCUGAACCCAACCAGCGCCCCCAGGUUGAGAAAGCUAGAGGCACCGCAGAGAAUGCCGUCACUGUCUCCUCCUCACCCCCUCCGGUCCUCCUGCAAAGGGAAUCCCCCUCCUUGUCCAGACUGAGCCGCAUCCCUGUACGAGACCCAACUACCGCCCCGGAUUCCCCCACCCCCCUCACCACGGAUCGCCGUCACCGCUGGAGCAGCCCUGUGCCCGGCUCGCCCUCCCACUCGCCCUCGCCAUCCCUCUCCUGCGACAACCUGCUACCCUGUGGUGUCCGAGAGCGUCUCCUGUCCUGCUCGGACCGCGGCUCACGCUCCGACUGGCUUGGGGAGGACCGUGACCCCCUCUCCCUCUCGCUCUCCUCCUCGGGCAGCAGGAGUAAGAUCCCGCGUCCCGUUAACUCCCCUCUUCUGGGGCCCGAGCAGCAUCAGCAGCUCUCCUCCUCCGGCAGGUUCCUGCCUCGCCCGCCUCCCGGGAAACCGCCCACCCGCCCGGCUGUAGACAACAGUAGGCACCGGCGGUUCCGGGUGCGCGCCAGCAGCACCAGCGAUGCUGACUUCCUGGCCAGCCUGACCCAACUGAUGAAGGACCGCGGCGGUGCACUCUUCAGUCCACCGCCACGCCCCCGUAGCUCCUCCUCCUUGCUGCAGCGCUCACUCAGCUCCUCCCCCUCCCGUCACGAGCACCGCGAGGGGGGUGGGGUCUUCGUGGAGCGCAGCUGCUCUCCGUCCAGCUUCUCGGGGUCCCCUCCCCCUCCACGGUACCCCCAGGACAGGCUCAGCGGGCAGCAGGGAAUACCAUGGGGUGCAGGGCCCGGUGCCCGAGGAAGGGUCUCCAGCCACGAGGGCAAAGGCAGUGGCAAAGUGAGCCGAUAA